rnacentral:rRNA from 1 species
UACGUAGGGGGCAAGCGUUGUCCGGAUUUAUUGGGCGUAAAGAGCGUGUAGGCGGCUGGGUAGGUCCGUUGUGAAAACUCGAGGCUCAACCUCGAGACGCCGAUGGAAACCCUCCAGCUAGAGUCCGGAAGAGGAGAGUGGAAUUCCUGGUGUAGCGGUGAAAUGCGCAGAUAUCGGGAAGAACACCCGUGGCUAAGGCGGCUCUCUAGUACGGUACUGACGCUGAGACGCGAAAGCGUGGGGAGCGAACAGG